rnacentral:rRNA from 1 species
AGAGUUUGAUCCUGGCUCAGAACGAACGCUGGCGGCAUGCCUAACACAUGCAAGUCGAACGCCAUGGUUUCGGCCAUGGAGUGGCGCACGGGUGAGUAACGCGUGGGAACCUGCCCAGCAGUAUGGGACAACCGCGGGAAACUGCGGCUAAUACCGUAUACGCCCCUGCAAGGGGGGAAAGAUUGAUCGCUGUUGGAGGGGCCCGCGUCGGAUUAGGUAGUUGGUGGGGUAAUGGCCUACCAAGCCUGCGAUCCGUAGCUGGUCUGAGAGGAUGAUCAGCCACACUGGGACUGAGACACGGCCCAGACUCCUACGGGAGGCAGCAGUGGGGAAUAUUGGACAAUGGGCGCAAGCCUGAUCCAGCAAUGCCGCGUGAGUGAUGAAGGCCUUAGGGUUGUAAAGCUCUUUCACACGCGACGAUGAUGACGGUAGCGUGAGAAGAAGCCCCGGCUAACUCCGUGCCAGCAGCCGCGGUAAUACGGAGGGGGCAAGCGUUGUUCGGAAUUACUGGGCGUAAAGGGCGCGCAGGCGGCUGCUCAAGUCAGGCGUGAAAGGCCUGGGCUCAACCCGGGAAUUGCGCUUGAGACUGGGCUGGCUUGAGUGCGGGAGAGGAUGGUGGAAUUCCCAGUGUAGAGGUGAAAUUCGUAGAUAUUGGGAAGAACACCGGUGGCGAAGGCGGCCAUCUGGACCGCAACUGACGCUGAGGCGCGAAAGCGUGGGGAGCAAACAGGAUUAGAUACCCUAGUAGUCC